rnacentral:lncRNA from 1 species
CCUCUCUCUCUCUGUCUCUUCACUUCAGUCUCAGCCUAAUUCAUCGAUCUGAACCUUCAGCUAGCUUACUCGAUCUGGGCAGGACUGGAGUCUCACCGAUUCUCACCGAUCCGCCGCUUCUGAGCUCUUCACCCAGGGAUCCUUCGACAGAUAGUGCAUGGGGACAAGUGUUGAAGCCAAUUAAUGGAUGACUACAUUGUUGGGGAACUGCUGGAUGCCUGGAUUGAAGACUGGAAGAAUGGCUACUAAGUUGCUGUAUUUGAAUUAGGACUUUCUAAUUUCUAUUUCAUUGCAUAUUUGUACUUGAAUUUGGACUUCAUAUUUAAAUUUGGACACUUUGUAUUUCAAUUGUAGCUUUAAUUGUUCUUGAAGAGUACUUGAAUUUGGAUAUUAUGUAUUCUGGAUAUUCGAAUUUGCAGCUUGAACUUUGGAUUUUGAUAGUGUUUUAAUUCAAAUUUUCACCAGGU